AGCAUCUCCAGAGGUCAGGGCAGUAUGUGCUCAGUGUUCAGGAACCGGGCUGAGGGUCAGCUUUGGGCAGGCUGGGGAGAGGGAAGCAGCGCUCUGGUCUGCGCUAGUAGUGAAGGCACAGGCAGGGACACUGUUCCCUGUGCAGGGCUCAGCUUGCUUUGCUCUUCAUUCCAAAUAGCACAGGGUGGAGCUUGUCAGUGCUCCUGUCUGACCAAACGACUUUGUUUCUUGCCAGGGAGAAGUGGAAAAGAUUGAACUACAAAACAAAAAUUUGCUUAAAGAAAAGGAGGAUCUGCAAGCAAGCUGUGCAGGUCUCCAGAAACAAAACAGCGAUCUGCAGGAAGAGCUCAGGAACACACAGGACAAUUUAGUGUCUCUGAGGAGCAACACAGAGAAACUGGAGCUGGAGCUGAAUGCCCUGGAAAAGGAAAAGCAACAUCUAAAGGAGCUGGAUGACUGUAGAAAGGCAGAACUGCACGAGCUCAAAGCGCAAAUUCAGAAUGUGACCUCUGACAAGGAACAACUGGACACGAGACUGAAAACAGCCCUGGAUCACAUGGAUCAGCUGCAGUCUCAGGUGUUGAGUUAUGAGAAAGAAGUGGAAAACUUGUCUCUCGUGGACCGUGACAAGGCAAAGAAGCUCGAACAUUUAAAGAAGGAGAAUCAGCAGUUACGCAUGAGUCGAAGUCAACAGCAACAGAACUCAAUGAAAGAACUUGAGGAGCAGAAGCGUUUUGUUCAGGUUCUGCAGGCAAGAAAGAAUGAAGCUGAUGAGGAAAAGCGGAAACUAAAAGAAAAGAAUAACGGGCUCCUGAGGCUUCUCUCGCAGGUUUCUUCACAAACUCAAACUUCAGUUCCAGCUUCUGAACUAGGAGAUCUUCUGUUUGGAAAUCCAUAUUAUGCUCCAGGAAUAAACCUGUUGGCAGAAGCUGCAGACAUAAACAAUUUGGACCUUCAGCAUUGUCAUCCUCCUCCAGAAGCACGGUGCUGAGGUUUGGGGUGCAGACGAGGGGGAGGCAGAGGGCGUGGAGCAGAACACAGUCUGGGAAUGCUGCUGCUGCUUCUCUUCACAUCACCUUAAUGAGGCUCCUGCGGAGAGCAGAGGGAGCUGAAAGGAAAUAAAAAGAUUCCUGACAAAAGGAAUGUAAAUAGA
rnacentral:lncRNA from 1 species